rnacentral:lncRNA from 1 species
AGAGAAUCAAACCCAAGUCAAUUGCAUUGAUCAACAGUUGCAAAAAGCAUGCUUUCCAUAUAUCAGACUAUUGGUCAGAGAAUCCAGUUUAUUGUAAUAAACUUAACAAAUGCAGAAAUACAAGAACCAGAAGCAAAAAGGAUGCUUUCCAUAUAUCAAACUAUUGGGUCAGAGAAUCAAACCCAAGUCAAUUACAUUGAUCAACAUUUGUAAAAAACAUGCUUUCCAUAUAUCAGACUAUUGGUCAGAGAAUCCAGUUUAUUGUAAUAAACUUAACAAAUGCAGAAAUACAAGAACCAGAAGCAAAAAGGAUGCUUUCCAUAUAUCAAACUAUUGGGUCAGAGAAUCAAACCCAAGUCAAUUGCAUUGAUCAACAGUUGCAAAAAGCAUGCUUUCCAUAUAUCAGACUA